ACCCGCUGAACUUAAGCAUAUCAAUAAGCGGAGGAAAAGAAACUAACAAGGAUUCCCCUAGUAACUGCGAGUGAAGCGGGAAAAGCUCAAAUUUAAAAUCUGGCGGUCUUUGGCUGUCCGAGUUGUAAUCUAGAGAAGUGAUGCCCGCGCUGGACCGUGUACAAGUCUCCUGGAAUGGAGCGUCAUAGAGGGUGAGAAUCCCGUCUCUGACACGGACUACCAGGGCUUUGUGGUAUGCUCUCAAAGAGUCGAGUUGUUUGGGAAUGCAGCUCUAAAUGGGUGGUAAAUUCCAUCUAAAGCUAAAUAUUGGCGAGAGACCGAUAGCGAACAAGUACCGUGAGGGAAAGAUGAAAAGAACUUUGGAAAGAGAGUUAAACAGUACGUGAAAUUGCUGAAAGGGAAACGCUUGAAGUCAGUCACGUUGGCUAGGAAUCAGCCUCGCUUUUGCGUGGUGUACUUUCUAGUUGACGGGUCAGCAUCAAUUUUGACCGCUGGAAAAAGGCUUGGGGAAUGUGGCAGCUCCGGCUGUGUUAUAGCCCUUUGUCACAUACAGCGGUUGGGAUUGAGGAACUCAGCACGCCGCAAGGCCGGGUUUCGACCACGUUCGUGCUUAGGAUGCUGGCAUAAUGGCUUUAAGCGACCCGUCUUGAAACACGG
rnacentral:rRNA from 1 species